CUUGUGGAGAUAUAUUCUGCACAUUGCGAUAUGCUAUUUUAUAAGCACAUCUCCAUGUAUAGGUCUCACAUAUGCUAGCUACCUACUUGAGGUCUAGCAGUACCUAGCUUCUGAGAGCUUCAUAGGUACCUGGCGACUUACCGCCUCGUUACCUAUUUUUCGGACACUGAGUGUAAUUACGAAUACCACACAGACAUUUACCUUAAGAUUAUUUAUCUUACAAAAUAAUAACACAUCUUCAGUUGUAAUUCAAUGUAUUGUAUUCAAGUACAUAAUUACAACUUACUCAAGCUAUAUUAUUUAUACUGGCCUGUACAGUAUUACGGAAAGAAAGAGAUGGCAUUUUAUGCCUUAGAAAGUGCAAAGCACAUCACCACAGGGAAUAGGGAACAGUACACGGAUGUGGGAAGGUCCAUAUAUGUUACUCAAUAAGAUGAGAUUUACAAUAAGGAUCCUCGGAUGUUUUACGUAAUAACUCCUGGACCCGAGUGCAUCUGAACGACUCUAUCAACGUAACUGGAACACAGAACAUAUUCGAAAUAGAUCACUUGCUUCACCAGUUCAUAUUUCGUAUAUGACUGGACUUGUGCUACUAAUUUAGUCCAUUAGAUUUACGCAAAUAGCAUGGUAUAGGUGGUCCUAUACCAUCUCCGGAACAUUGAUAUCCGAUGUUUUAUCAUCGGGAGUCGCCAAAUGACUGGUUUCUCUAGCGUAUGUUCUCUCGUUACGAAGUAUAGAGUGAACUAAUCCGCUAGGUGUCGUAUUACGAAACUAUUUUUAAUGUUGGCUAGAGGCAGAACGAAUUUCUCUCGCUUACGCGACCGAAAAUGCAUCACAAUCUGUCUCUACAUAUGCCCCGAGUUUGUGUAAUGGCAUAGUGUUUACAUAAAUUCUCAAAUUAAGAGAUGAUUGCGAUCUCCUCUUCUUCUGCCCCGAAUUAUGUCAACAUUUGGUUAUUACGCUUGAACAUGGACCUUCCGAUAAAUGAAUGAAUGGAUAAAAUGGAAACUGUACUAGGUAAAAACAUAUUAAAAUACAUGGUUUGUAGAAUAAAAAAAAAUAAAAAAAUAGAUAACACUGCUUACUGAUAAGAGAAAAAGAAAAAAUUUUACAAUGCUUCUUGCUUAAAAGAUAAAAAAAAUAAUAAAAUAGUACAUGUAUGUGUUUUACGAAAUUUUUGAAUUAUUUGCAACUAAUAAUGUGUUUCUGUUUUUCUGUUUCAGGUUUCUAUCUUGAUGAUGAAUAAUGUCUUGGAUCAAUCUUCAUUUCAGUUGAAACCAUUUGUGAACAAUUAUCACGGGAAGUAUAUUUCUCUUGUGUUACGCAAUGUGAAAUGUUUGAAUACUUUGUGUCAAAUUGUUUCAUAGGAUCAGAAGAUUUUCAAAAUGGUUCAAUGUGUGAAUUUUUAUUCGGUGAGGAAUGGGAUGAGACCCAGGAUCAGUUCUAAGAUGAUAUGUUGUAUCAUUGUCGGCGCUUCGUUUUCACCUUUUUCAAUUGGAGUGGAUCGGUCGAGUAUGGAUUCCGCUUGUCUUACGUAUGUUACUGUUUCCUGUCUUUCAUGUGCUGUUCUUUGUAGCCAAUCUCAUAACUUAGAACCUUGAUCCUUAAACUCUUUUAACAGGAUUGGAGGUAAUAUCACUAUUGUUUCAGCUCCUUUGCGUUCCAAAGUGUUUAUUAAUCGUAAAUACUGAGAUUUUAACUUUUCUUCACAGGUCCCAUCCAUGAGGUCUUUGUGGCCUACCGACAUUAUUAUACCUCGCGUUGAUUUUAGAAGGUGUUUGUCAAUAUUGCGUUCGAGUUGGUCAACGGAGAUGUUUGGCUGUAUGAAGUCAUUAAAUUUCAUCGCAUCUACAUAACUGGGAUCUGCUUUUACGGCUGUGUGGACAAUUUGUUGGAUUGCUCCAUCUCCAAUCAUGAAAUGGUUUUGAAUCAAGAAGAUUGUUUCAGAACCACCAUUUCCAACUGUCAUUGAAAAACUUCUGAGAAAUAGAUGAUCUUUGAUCGGGCGUAUGUUAUUGUAUACUUCUUUUGGUGCUCUGUUCAUUAGCGGGUAACUGAAAUUUUCUAGCUCUUUUCGAAAUAAAGUGUAGUUAAUCGGUAAAUAUACUGUUUGAGCUCUUUUUUCUGCAUAGGUAUCUAUUGUUAUCGAGUUACGUAAAUGUUUGAUUGUCUUAAUCGCCGCAAAUUGUCCAGGUUUAGGGUAACAUUUAGAAGAUGGAUAAAUCAUCAGAGAUUUGUAGCGUUUCGAGUUGCGUCUUUCGUAAUCUUGUUUUCUUAAUUCAUGUCUUCUGUUAUAUCCUAAUGGUGUUCUCGGUAUGCGUGUUGAAUAUCGAUAGCUAGAAUAAUUUGGUUUUACGUAUGGUCGUUUGUAUACCGGAGACGUAGGGCGAAUACGUGUGAUUGUUGAUUUAGUUGGAGAUUUGCUACGUGGCGGUGUUAUUAAUUUUUUGCGUUCUGGUGAUUUUUUCUUCGGUGACAACUGUUUACGAUCAUUACUGCUUUGUCUUAUUUUAAUUAUAGUACUGUUUGCUUUUUUAAUAAUUGGAGAUUUAUCUUUUGUUCUUUGUUUUAUAGGUGAUAAUUCUUGGAUGUCUUCUUUUGCUAUCUUCGAGUUCGUUGAUUUUUUAUCUUCAUCAGACAUGCAUUCAUAUGAAGGGGUAAAAUUCAUCUCAAGCAUUUCUCCGUCGUCAUCAGUACGAUUAUUCUCUUCGGACAACGGUGAGUCAUGUUUAAUUUCCUCGAGUUUCGGUGCUGGUGUUGAAAAUUCUACUGUUUUCGUGAUUGCUUUCAGUUCUUUGAUUCGACUUACGAGGAAAGACGGUGUGUUACGAAAUUCAUCUAUCAUGGUAAUUUGCUUCAUGUUACCUUUUACGAAAUAAUGAGUGUCUGGUUGGAUUUCUUGGUCACAUCUAGGGAAUACGCAUUUUACAGCACCAGGUGGAGCAAUAUCUAUUACGUCUUUCAAACACUGCAGGUGAUACAGAUGCGUACACGUGGUUGCUACGAGAGGAUUUUCUAUUUGCUCGACGAUCGGGGGCUCAGCCAGUGAUUGAUUACAUGAUGAGCAAGACACGAUAUUCACUAUUCUGCUAUCCAUUUUCUGUCAACAUCAUGGGUAUUCGUUAAAUUUCAUGUAUUUUGUAUUACAUUAAUUUUCAUGCUGUUUUGUGUAAUUUUUACUGUUACAAAUGAAUCUGUACUUACGGAAAUUGUUGAUGUGAAUAAAUGGAAUUGUCUUGAUGUAA